rnacentral:rRNA from 1 species
GAUGAACGCUGGCGGCGUGCCUAAUACAUGCAAGUCGAGCGAACGGACGAGAAGCUUGCUUCUCUGAUGUUAGCGGCGGACGGGUGAGUAACACGUGGAUAACCUACCUAUAAGACUGGGAUAACUUCGGGAAACCGUAGCUAAUACCGGAUAAUAUUUUGAACCGCAUGGUUCAAAAGUGAAAGACGGUCUUGCUGUCACUUAUAGAUGGAUCCGCGCUGCAUUAGCUAGUUGGUAAGGUAACGGCUUACCAAGGCAACGAUGCAUAGCCGACCUGAGAGGGUGAUCGGCCACACUGGAACUGAGACAAGGUCCAGACUCCUACGGGAGGCAGCAGUAGGGAAUCUUCCGCAAUGGGCGAAAGCCUGACGGAGCAACGCCGCGUGAGUGAUGAAGGUCUUCGGAUCGUAAAACUCCGUUAUUAGGGAAGACCAUAUGUGUAAGUAACUGUGCACAUCUUGACGGUACCUAAUCAGAAAGCCACGGCUAACUACGUG